rnacentral:lncRNA from 1 species
AUCACAUCAGAGCUCACUUCGAACCACUGGAUCACAUCAAACCCCAUCAGAAGAGCUCUGGGCUGCGUUGGAUGGGUCCUCCAUCACAUCAGAUCACGUUGGACCACGUGAGAUGAGUGCUGGGACGUGCUGGAUCCCAUCUGGAGAUCCCUGGGCUGCGUCAGAUCACGUUGGACCACAUUGGAUCAGCACUGGAUCCCACCAGAAUCCAUCAGAAGAGCUCUGCGCUGCAUUGGAUGAGCGCUGGACCACGCUGGAUCACAGGAGAUGGGCACUGAGAUGCUUUGGAUCCCAUCAGAACCCUGGGCUGCAACACAUCACAUCAGACCUCACAUUGGACUGCACUGGAUGAGCACUGGACCCCACCAGAUCCCAAGAGAACAACUCUGGGUCGCACUGGAUGAACGUUGGGACGCGUUGGAUGAGCACCAGGCGACGCUGGAUCGCAUAGGAUGAGCUCUAGGCCACACUGAACCCCAUCAGAAGAGCCCUGGACCACGUUGGAAAGAGACUCCAGCUGUGUCAGAUCACAUCAGAACUCACGUUGGACCACUUUGGAUGAGCACUGGACCACGCUGGAUCACAACAGAUCACAUGAGAUGAGCGCUGGGAUGCAUUGGACCCCAUCAGACGAGCCCUGGGCUGCAUCAGAUCACAUCAGGCCACACGUUGGACUGCACUGGGUGAGCACUGGACCACAUCAGACCCCAACAGAAGAUCUCUGGAUUGUGCUGGAUCACAUUGGAUCACGUUGGAGCACAUUAGACCCCAAUAGAAGAUCUCUGGACUGUGCUGGAUCACGUUGGACCACAUCAGACCCCAAUAGAAGAUCUCUGGAUUGUGCUGGAUCACGUUGGAUCACGUUGGACCACAUCAGAUCCCAACAGAAGAGCCCUGGGCCACGGCGGACCACACUGGAAAAGCCCUGGGCUGCACCAGAACACAUCAAAACUCACACUGGGUCGUACUGGGUGAGUCCUGGACUACCUCAGAGCACACUGGUUGAGUGCUGGGUCACGUUGGAUCCCACUGGGAGAGCCCUGGGCCGCACCAGACUGCACACCGGAUCACGCUGGAUGAGUUGGACAAACACUGGACCAUGUUGGACGACGUUUGACGAGCGCUGGAUCACACAGGACCCCGUCGGAAGAGCCCUGGGCUGCGACAGACCACGGGCUGGAUCAUGCUGGAUGAGCACUGGGCCACAUUGGAUCACGUUGGACGAGUCCUGGAUCGCACCGGACAAGCUGGAUGAGCACCAGACCACGUCGGAUAAGUGCUGGGUCAAGUCAAAAAAGCGUUGGACCACAUCGGACCGUUGUGGAAGAGCCCCGGGCUGCCCCACACCGCAGCAGAACACAGAAAGGACCGUGCUGGAUGAGUCCUGGACCCCACCGGAUGAACACCGCACCACGUCGGAUGACACCGCACAAAUCCUGGGUCACAUUCAACCCCGACAGAAGAGCCCCGGGAGGCCCCACACCACAGCAGGACACACAGCAGAUCACAUUGGCUGACCACCAGACUGCAUGGGACUCCCCCAGCAGAGCCCUGGGCUGCACCAAACCCCGUUGGAUGCAGUGGGGCCGCGUCGCUCCGCACCUCACGGCAUCGCGUGGGACAUCAGGGGCUCAGCUGCCCCCCACCCCACUGGGCUCUGCUCAGCGCACCGAGUCCGAGCCCAAAGCCCAGCGCUGAGCUCCUCACCCCCCCACCCCAAAAAUGGGAACCCCUCCCAGCUCCAGAAGUCCAUACCGGGAGGGAGGAGGGCAAGCGACGCCCAAGCCCAAGCCGAGCUCUACAUGUGUGUGGUUGUUUCUUUUUUGUUUGUUUUUCUCCUUUUUUCCUCAUUUUUUUUUUUCCCCCCCCUCGUUUCUCCCACCCAACGCCACCCCCUCGCCCCCCGCCCCGGCUCACAGCGAGUGCUGCUCCGCGUGGAGCGGGGCCGGGAUGAGCGCUUGGACGGGCGACUGCGGCGACGGCGGAGGGGUCCUGGGGGGCGAAGGCUGCGUCGCGAUGGGGGCGAAGGGGACGACGCCGGGGGGGGGAACGGCGGCCGACGGGGAGGCUGGGGCGGCGCUGGGGGGGUCGAGGAUGGGGCGGUGGUAGAAAAAGAAGGGGCACUGCUGGAUGAAGAGUUCGAUGAUUGUCUGGUAGGUGCGGGUCGCCGUCAGCGCGUCCAUCGUGCUGAAAUCGGGGCGCAUCAGCGUCGGCCAGAAGCAGAUGGAGAGGUUCUCGCUCGUCAUCAGGUUCACGCGGUGGUGGUGGCUCACCCUAAAGGAGGGGAGGUGGUGGGGAUGGGCCCAGCGCUGCCCCGACGGUGUAGGGAUGCAAGAGCAACAACUCGCCAAGCCCCAUUGGUGGGGUGACAA